GAUUAACAACAGGGGGACCCGGCCGCGAAAAGCUGAAUGGAUAGGGCCAGUGCGACGUCACGGCAAGCUGCAGCCAUGAAGCUCAAGAUCAGGCGCGAGCCAACCUACAAGCGCUCAGUUGUUCUACAUCUCUUGACUCGCUCGGUUGAUUGUUUUGGAGAGCGUUUGUAACGGUGGCUGGCAGACAACGGAUUCUAAUGGAGACACACACAGGAGCAACAGAACACGUGGCAUAGGUGUAAAUCUGGCUUGUGUUAAUCCACUGUGGCACAAGAGGAUGGGUCGCCUUAGGGGUUGGUUGUUAUCUUUGGUUAUCUAGCUGUAUGAGUGGUGUACAUUCUUCAUAAAGCUAGAUAACCGAAAGUAACAAGAAUCCCAUUACACUCCUGAAAGGCACCAAGACCACCAACACAGCACCCCCACCUCCCCCCACGCCGUCACUCCAUUCCACAACUUAAAGCAGAACCAGUAAAGAACACAACCCAUUUCAUAGGACACCGGAGGAGAAUAUCAAGUCAGCCUUGAUUCUCAGAUGGUUGGAUCUGAUUUGCAUGCAUUUGCAUAAUGAAAGUCAUUUGCAUGCUCGGGGGCAGACUCUAGCAUGAGAAAAGACACAAAAAGGUGUGUGCGCGUGCGCAUGUACCUAUGUAUGAAUGUAUGUAUGUACGUGUGUAUGAAUUCAUGUGUCCAUAUCUCGGCUGGUUAAACUGCAUACUCAGAUUUCCCCCUUUUGUUCUCUCUUUUUCCCUAUUGCUGUUUUUUGUCCAGGCUACCAACACCACCCCUAGCAGAAAGCUGGCAAAAUGAGCCAGAAAAAGAGGGAGGGGGGGGGUCGUUGUUGACUCUGCCUUCCCUCUUCUCGCCCUCCUCCUCUGCAUCACCUCUCCCCACCCUCGCUUCAUCCUCAGCUGCCUGCCCCCUCUUCUGUAGCGCCACGCUCAGCCAGCGCCACCAUCUUAGGACCACGCGGGCUGGCAUAAAAUGGAAGUGAGGGACCAGCGAGAGCAGGUAAAGAAUGUCCCAAAACAUUGAAAGCGGGCAGAAACAGCGUACACCAAUCCACUGGGGGAAGACACGUUGUCCCCAAAGACCUCCCCAGUGUUGGUCGUGCUACAGGCCCACUGCAGCAACAUCCAAUACGCUCCAGCUUGUGUCACAACAUUCAAGCAUCGGAGCGUUUGAGCUGCCAUUAUGGACCUCUGACUUGGGGUUGGAAUUCUGGCCUUGGUUUUGUCAUCAAACAACAGCCCAUCAGGACUGGUUUGUUUUCUCUCUUAAGCCAAAACAUCUGUUUGGUAGGUGGUCUGUCAUUGGCAUGGAAGAUCUCAGGGUGAAGAUCUCAGGAUCCAAGAUUAAUAGAGAAGCCUAGGUUCUUGGUUCCACUGUGGUUCCACUGAGCAAUGUAUUAGGAUACAUUUCUGGAGCGUGUGCUCUGUAUCUGUUUUCUUGCAACUUUUACAACAUGUAUGUUACAUAUGAGGAAAUAUUCCUAGAAAUACCUGUUCUUGUUUGCAAACAUUAGUUUAAUAGCACAGAACACUUCACUAAUGAGAAGACAAAUACUACUAUGAUAAUACUUCUGUUAAGAGUCCAUGGUUUUCCAUGGGAAAUGUGUAGAAAAAUUUGAAGUAACAUAGAUCAUUAUGUGAUAAUGGUUUGAAUGUUAGCUCUUUUUGUGUGGAUAUGUUACUGUUUGUAGUGGCUAUGACUGAAGGACAUGUGAAUGUGAGACCCACGGCAGCGGUGAAGAAUACUGCACUGCGAUUGGAUGGCUCCGUGUGUCAUGUGACACAUAGGCAAACGGGAGAGCUGUCGCCUUUAAACUCUAUGCAACUGUUUUUGGCUUGCAACCAGUUAUGUUGGGCAAGCCAUCAACUGGAUUAUUUUUGGGUUAACACUCAUGUUAGAUGAUUUUUUCUCUAUGCAGGUGUGUGUGUGUGUGUGUGUGUACGUGUGUGUGAAAGGAAAGUGUCAUCAUACUACAGAAGAGAGAGACAGACAAAUAGAUGGAAAUUGUAAUUGUACACAGCACAAUGUUAGCUGUACAUAGUACAAUGAUUAGUUUAGUUUUCAUGAACAGAAUUGUAUAGUUGUCUCUGUCAAUGCAAAUCAGAGCAGGAAAUACGUAAUAUUGUUGGUGAGAGAACUCUGUUUGAUCAACAAUGCUGUGAAGCUAGUAAGGUUCUGGAUUGCAUGGAACAUUCUAAACCAAUACAACUUUCCAAGGAGGCCUUGAAUGCAGUAGCUUGACAUUAACUAGCAAACUGCACACACACACAUAUACACACACACACACACAAUAGUAAGCAAAUGCAAUCAGUAUAUACUAAUUUGUUUUAUAUGAUAUUUCGGGAAGAGGCAAUUUUUACAAUGUAUUGGUAAUCUAUGCAAAUCUGACUUAACAAUAUAUUUAGUGCUUGUGUAAUUUAUUUCAAGUACAAGCCUUAUUUUAUUUUUAUUUUUUUAACAUCCUAAUGCUAUAGACAAUUAUUUAUCUGCCUGGAUAAACAUACUCAUUAUUUCUUCCCUAAAAUACACUUUUGGUGGAUGGCUAAAACCAGUCUAGGGGCCACAGAAAUUAUUAAAUAGUUUUAUGUUUUCUUUUUCACUGAGAUUAUAUGACUAAGCAGUUCUUUGAGCAACUGAUGUUGUUUGUGUUAUGUAAUCAAAUGUGCAUUAUAUAAUGUUAGUUUGCACUGAAUCCACCACAUGUGCCUUUGUAAAAGAAUAUUGUGUCCUGUCAUGGAUUAGUAAUAAAAGUUUACAUGGAAAACAAACUGAAAA